CUUUCGCAAUGUUUUGGAGUAUCAAUCAAGACAUACUUGAUGCUUCACUGAUGUCAUGAAGAGUAACAGACAGUUUUCUUUAAUACAAAGUUACUGCACAGAUCUUCCAGUCUGGACGACCAGACGACGGUUCCGGGACGACGAUCCUAAUCCGGACACCCACUGCCCAUCUUUGUGGCGGCCUGCCCUGCUGUCAGAGAGCCUACCAUGGUAAACCACCAGACGGGGGGGGGGACUGCCAUGGUGA